rnacentral:hammerhead_ribozyme from 1 species
AUCUAGCUGAUGAGUAUUAAAUAGGACGAAACGUGAGUCCUGGAU